rnacentral:rRNA from 1 species
UUAGGAAUAUUCGUCAAUGGAGGAAACUCUGAACGAGCAAUGCCGCGUGAAGGAUGACGGUCCUAUGGAUUGUAAACUUCUGUUGUUAGGGAAGAACGACCUAAGUAGGAAAUGACUUAGGAGUGACGGUACCUUUCAAGAAAGCUCCGGCUAACUACGUGCCAGCAGCCGCGGUAAUACGUAGGGAGCGAGCGUUAUCCGGAUUUAUUGGGUGUAAAGGGUGCGUAGGCGGCUUUAUAGGUCUGUGGUUUAAGCCCGAAGCUUAACUUCGGUUCGCCACAGAAACCGUUUAGCUUGAGUAUGGUAGAGGCAAGUGGAAUUUCUAGUGUAGCGGUUAAAUGCGUAGAUAUUAGAAGGAACACCAGUGGCGAAGGCGACUUGCUGGGCCAUCACUGACGCUGAGGCACGAAAGCGUGGGGAGCAAAUA